rnacentral:rRNA from 1 species
UUCGCAAUGCCCGAAAGGGUGACGAAGCGACGCCGCGUGGGUGAGGAAGGCCUUCGGGUUGUAAAGCCCUGUCAGGAGUUAAGAAAUGUAGACUCGCUAAUAUCGGGUCUAUUUGACAAAGGCUCCAAAGGAAGCCACGGCUAACUCUGUGCCAGCAGCCGCGGUAAUACAGAGGUGGCAAGCGUUGUUCGGAAUUAUUGGGCGUAAAGAGCACGUAGGUGGAUUUGUAAGUCAGACGUGAAAGCCUUCUGUUCAACGGAAGAAUUGCAUCUGAAACUACAAACCUUGAGUGUAGGAGGGGAGAAUGGAACUUCUGGUGGAGCGGUGAAAUGCGUAGAUAUCAGAAGGAACGUCGGCGGCGAAAGCGACUCUCUGGUCUAUUACUGACACUGAGUGUGCGAAAGUUAGGGGAGCAAACGGGAUUAGAUACCCCGGUAGUCCUAACUGUAAACGAUGGGCACUAAGUAGAGGGGUUUU